CGCUCUCUCGGCCGUCCCGCGAGGACCCUGCCCGCUGCCCCCCCCCCCCCGUCCCGCGCGCCGUGGGGGGGGCGGGGCGGCGCGUGGGGGUGGGGCGCGGGCCGAGGCGAGACGUGGCGGACCGGGCCGCCGGAGCAGGCCUUUCUCAUUUAACUCUCAUCACGUUGCGAAGUUAAAAGUGAUCAUUUUUCAACAAAAAGGUAUUUUAGUUCUCUGCAGAAUAAGAACAUAGCUCUCACGGCCUGCUUCAGGUGACCCAUGCAGUGCCUGGGUUUCAGCCUUGUGGCUCAGUUGCCUUCGCAGACCGGAGCAGUGUGGAGGGGCUGAAAAGGACGAUGAGGACACCACCUGGGAGAGAUGGAGAUGCUUCUAUGGGCCACAAGUGGCUUUCAAGGAAGCCUUGGUACGGUUGGUCUCUGAGAUGUAAUAAGAUUGCAUUAAAAGUAUGAAAACUCUCAGCCUAGACAGUGUGGCUGGCCUCUUGACAAUUGCAUCUUACCUGGAUUUUCCUACAGAUGACGUAGGCAAG
ensembl:lncRNA